GGAUAACAGGCUGAUACCGCCCAAGAGUUCAUAUCGACGGCGGUGUUUGGCACCUCGAUGUCGGCUCAUCACAUCCUGGGGCUGAAGUAGGUCCCAAGGGUAUGGCUGUUCGCCAUUUAAAGUGGUACGCGAGCUGGGUUUAGAACGUCGUGAGACAGUUCGGUCCCUAUCUGCCGUGGGCGCUGGAGAAUUGAGGGGGGCUGCUCCUAGUACGAGAGGACCGGAGUGGACGCAUCACUGGUGUUCGGGUUGUCAUGCCAAUGGCACUGCCCGGUAGCUAAAUGCGGAAGAGAUAAGUGCUGAAAGCAUCUAAGCACGAAACUUGCCCCGAGAUGAGUUCUCCCUGAGACUUUAAGUCUCCUGAAGGAACGUUGAAGACGACGACGUUGAUAGGCCGGGUGUGUAAGCGCAGCGAUGCGUUGAGCUAACCGGUACUAAUGAACCGUGAGGCUUAACCUUACAACGCCGAAG
rnacentral:rRNA from 1 species